rnacentral:tRNA from 1 species
CCAUCGGUGGUUCAGUGGUAGAAUGCUCGCCUGCAACGCGGGCGGCCCGGGUUCGAUUCCCAGCCUAUGCA